UCUCCCUUUGUGGUUCUGAUUUGAUUUUUAUCCUCUUUCACUUGAAUGUGAAAUUGACUUGUUUCCUUCUUUCUCUUUCUAAGUUUUAGUAGUAAGAAUUUCUACUCAUUUUCUUUCAACAAUUAGGACUCCUUUUUUUCUGGAUUCUUGAAUGUGACAAGGUUAGCACUACUAUCUUGAAUUAAUGAUCAUAUGAGUUAUAAAAAAAAAAAAUUGCCUUUAGGUGUACCCUCUCCAUGCAUGGCUUCUCUAAACUGUAAUUUGUAAGUUACUUAAUGGAACCCUUUUUGUCCCCCUUGUGUUUCAGUUGUUUAUGUUACAGUAGGAUGGUUUGAUGCUACUCAUUAGAUGCGUGACUGUGUGGAUCCUGUUGCUGAUUUUCUAGAGUAUACUCGUGCCUUCUUCCGCAAACUGGUUAUUGACUUGGUGUUGAGACAUUGCUCCCGUCUGGUAAAGGAAUUGUUUACCAUUGAAUUAUUUUUUGACUGCCUGAUCUUUUUAUGACGUUGCUCUAGUGUUGCUCGAGUACAGGUUGGUUCUGUAUUCUCUCCAAUGCUCUGGUUCCUUAUCUUACUCUCACAUUUCAUUUGGAAUAUCAGGAGUGUCAGAUGGCUAUACUGAUUUUUCUGGUUGACGUUUUCUUUUGUAGGCUUUAAGUGGAUUUGGAAUUCCAAGACAGAUGCUAUUGAUUUAGAUGCUUCUUGACUAGUUGUGCGGAAAGUGAGCUUAAGUGCUUCACCUUGAAUUAAAGAAGAUCAUUGUGUGGCAUCAACUCGAAACACCAUGCAAAUGCUUAGCAUUAGUACUUUUUUUUAUUUGAUGUGGGACUGUUUUAGAUUCUUACGAAUUUAAGGUUGUAAUGUACAACUCAUUAUACAUGAAUUUGUACUCUACUAUUUUAGUUUGACAUGAGUUUAAAUUUGCAAUAUUGUUAUUGUGAA